CCCAUAAUAGUCUCCCACACAGUGGUCAUUUGGAAACAAUUAACCCUUGAUUCAAGAUCCUCUUAAAGAAUCCUUUUCCAAGCCCUUCUCUUUUCUAUCUCAGCCUGUUGUGUUGUCUCUCCCCAUGGAUGGGAACAGCUUUAUCCUUCAGGAGCAACAUCCAUUGGUCUUGGCUUUCUCCAAAGUGUUGUGGUUUCGGACCGGUGGCUUUUUCCCCUGAUGGGGUAUCACCCCCCACCUUCCCUUUCCCCUCAUGACUCUGCGGCCAGAUGUGGUGGCCCCUUGCUGGGAUGUUAAACUGGCAACACCCUUGAUCCAGGCAGACAGACACUCAAUAGCCAACUUCUGGAAAACCUCCCCCCUGCACUGGAUGGCUCUGACACAAACCAGCUGAAGACAUUGCAAUGCCAGAAAGUGUUACAGCUGGACUGCCUGACAGAUUGGCAGCAUGCACGCUGAUUUGGGGACCGUAUUUGGGGGCCUGCAAAGUGCUCACUGUCCAGGCACCGAGCCACUAAUCACAGUUUACAUUAGGCAAUCAGAUACUUUUCCACUACUGAAUGAUCUGCUCUACCCCCCCCCCCCCCCUUUUUUUUCACGUUAUGGGACCCUGUGUGUGUAUAUACAGUACCUACCCUCUGCGCUUCACAUCUGCACUGUGUUUUAAGCUGAAUUUAAUGCACAGUUACUUGCCUCGACUCCGGCAGCGACAAGGUGCCCGAAUUGCUUCUGCCCUCUUUCCUACUCCCCAGCCUGAUGUCUGCCUGUUUCUGUGCUGACCCACGUGGUUAACUUAACCUGGGGUGGAGGGAUAUACUUAUGGACAAACCCCUGGGCAAGAAAAAAGCCUGGAUGUUUUAUGGCACUCUACAGGAGUGGGAUUUCUGUCAGCCUAUAGAAUCUGAUGAGUGGUUUUAAAUAAAAUUCCAGAGACCAGAUCUUCACUGAAAACAAUAGAUUUUUAGGGUAAUUUGUCUAGCAUGCUGCCCUUAAUCACUUUUACAAAGGAGUGUUUCAUUAGGAAUGAAUCUGUGUCAGCCCCAUACGUCAGCUCUGAUUUCUGCGUUGGCCCAGCCAUGAUGCUGUAGAUCUAUGUUCGUGUAAGAUAAGUUUGCCAUGGCUGGCUGUCUAAUGAAUAUGGCCUCAUUUACAAUAAGGAGGGCUCAGGCCUGGCUACAGCCCAGAGUUUCUAUUCCAAAGAAAUGCUGACAUUUUGGAAAACCUGGGUCUGUGUCAGAAUGAGUAGCUGAAAUUUUGAUAUUUUCCAAGCCAAAAAAGGUGCUCUGAAAAAUGUGUGCUGUAUUAAAACAUUAAAUAACAGUUAGGUGCCAAUUUAAGAAAAAUAUAUAAACAGAACAUGAAAAUUCAAAUUUUAAUAUAAACAUUGAACUGAAAUUAACAGAAAUGUUUUGAUGUUGGCGAAAUGAGAUAUCAUAACUUCUUCUCACCAAUGUUUUUCUGCCACAGCUGAUCUAUUCCUAUGAAAACGUUUUGAUUUUAAUGAAUCUGUAUGUUUUCCACAGCAUAAUUAUUUUGUCAAAAAAGGGAAAACAAAUCGCACUACAUAAGAUGGCCCCAGACUUGUCCUGCUGAACAGAGUGUUGGGCAAUUGACCUAACUGAUUUCCACCUUUGCUUGUGCAGGGUCAGCCCCUGAGGUUCAAGCAGACCAGGAAGGAUAUUUUCAAGUUUUAACAAAUGUGAAACUGUACAUUUUGGGGUUCACGUUGCUGUCUUUACUUUUCCUUCCAGUCCUUGCAACAGAAUAAAUCUUGGCCAAUUAUGGCUCAAUUUCCCCAUCUGAAAAGUGGGAAUACUGCUGUUUGCUCACCUUUCUUAAGAUUUGUGCCUAGGUAAAGCACUCAUAAGCACCAAUUAACCUUAUUACCCAAUUCCUGUGCGUAAACUAAGGGCUGAUGUGAAGAAAUGAGUAUGCACGGUGUUGUGCAGAUAGGAAACAGGGUUAUUUUCGGCCCAGAUUGCAGUUUCACGGUUCCUGGGGCAGAGCUGAAGCUUACAAGCCUGUUUAUUUUCUUCCCUGGAGAACCCGGGAUGUGACAAUCAACAAACAACCCCCAUGACAAAAUGUGAGAGGAAAAGGACAUUUAUUAGGUAAAUAUAGUGUAAAAGUCCAGCAAGGCACUGCAUGCACGCGCACACACCAGGGUCUGAGUGAGCAUGGAGGGGACUUGGGAAAGGUAUUAUGCAUUCAGGCAUCUUCAAUGUACUGCUAAUAAAAUUAAGUGUUGAAACAUAAAUGUUUUAAUUUUAGUGCAAAUGUUCCAAGCAAUAGCCCCUUCUGCACCUUUCCUUCCCACCCCCAGCCUGGACUAAUCCAUUUAGAGACAAAUUUACAUUUUAUUUCUCCAAACCCUAUUAGCAUUAAUAGAAAGGUCAGCACUGAAAAGGCAGCUUCAGAAGCUAAAGUGCCAGUGCGCUGUGCUCUGCAGCCAGACAAGGGCAUGUGGGUCUCUCACCCACUGGGUCUGACAAGAAUUUGUAAUUUAAGAGGAAAAUCCUCCUCUCUAGACAUCCCCGUGGCUCAUGGAGAUGACCAGGCCACCCUCUGGACACCAAAUGGGGCUUCUUGAUAUCAGAA